ACGCUGGCGGCGUGCCUAAUACAUGCAAGUAGAACGCUGAAGAGAGGAGCUUGCUCUUCUUGGAUGAGUUGCGAACGGGUGAGUAACGCGUAGGUAACCUGCCUUGUAGCGGGGGAUAACUAUUGGAAACGAUAGCUAAUACCGCAUAACAAUAGGUGACACAUGUCAUUUAUUUGAAAGGGGCAAUUGCUCCACUACAAGAUGGACCUGCGUUGUAUUAGCUAGUAGGUGAGGUAACGGCUCACCUAGGCGACGAUACAUAGCCGACCUGAGAGGGUGAUCGGCCACACUGGGACUGAGACACGGCCCAGACUCCUACGGGAGGCAGCAGUAGGGAAUCUUCGGCAAUGGGGGCAACCCUGACCGAGCAACGCCGCGUGAGUGAAGAAGGUUUUCGGAUCGUAAAGCUCUGUUGUAAGUCAAGAACGAGUGUGAGAGUGGAAAGUUCACACUGUGACGGUAGCUUACCAGAAAGGGACGGCUAACUACGUGCCAGCAGCCGCGGUAAUACGUAGGUCCCGAGCGUUGUCCGGAUUUAUUGGGCGUAAAGCGAGCGCAGGCGGUUUGAUAAGUCUGAAGUUAAAGGCUGUGGCUCAACCAUAGUUCGCUUUGGAAACUGUCAAACUUGAGUGCAGAAGGGGUGAGUGGAAUUCCAUGUGUAGCGGUGAAAUGCGUAGAUAUAUGGAGGAACACCGGUGGCGAAAGCGGCUCUCUGGUCUGUAACUGACGCUGAGGCUCGAAAGCGUGGGGAGCGAACAGGAUUAGAUACCCUGGUAGUCCACGCCGUAAACGAUGAGUGCUAGGUGUUGGAUCCUUUCCGGGAUUCAGUGCCGCAGCUAACGCAUUAAGCACUCCGCCUGGGGAGUACGACCGCAAGGUUGAAACUCAAAGGAAUUGACGGGGGCCCGCA
rnacentral:rRNA from 1 species